rnacentral:rRNA from 1 species
UUGCACGCUGGCGGCAGGCCUAACACAUGCCAGUCGAACGGUAACAGGAAGCAGCUUGCUGCUUCGCUGACGAGUGGCGGACGGGUGAGUAAUGUCUGGGAAACUGCCUGAUGGAGGGGGAUAACUACUGGAAACGGUAGCUAAUACCGCAUAACGUCGCAAGACCAAAGAGGGGGACCUUAGGGCCUCUUGCCAUCGGAUGUGCCCAGAUGGGAUUAGCUAGUAGGUGGGGUAACGGCUCACCUAGGCGACGAUCCCUAGCUGGUCUGAGAGGAUGACCAGCCACACUGGAACUGAGACACGGUCCAGACUCCUACGGGAGGCAGCAGUGGGGAAUAUUGCACAAUGGGCGCAAGCCUGAUGCAGCCAUGCCGCGUGUAUGAAGAAGGCCUUCGGGUUGUAAAGUACUUUCAGCGGGGAGGAAGGGAGUAAAGUUAAUACCUUUGCUCAUUGACGUUACCCGCAGAAGAAGCACCGGCUAACUCCGUG